rnacentral:lncRNA from 1 species
AUUACAUAUUUGGAUAGUACUAAUCGAGACAAACGCAUGGGCGUAAACAGAAUGUGAUUCAAAAUUAUAACGAAGAUUUUAUGAGGUUUUGAACGUCGAGCAUAUUUUGGUAAAUUGAUAUUAAUCGGACAUGUGCUAUUUUUGUCUAACCAUUGGAUGAGUGCCAUGUGGGCACCUAAAAAAUUCUGGAACUCUCUCCUCCCUUUUCUCUCUCGUACCUCUUCACUCCCUCUAACUCCCUAGCUCUCUCUCUCUCUCGGCUUUCCCUUUUCUCCCCUUGAAACAAACCAUCAUCACCACCAAAAUUUU